rnacentral:ribozyme from 1 species
CUUUCCGGUCUUUCUGUAAAAGGGUUGGAUCCGACGCCUAUAGAAGGCUACUAUAGGCUCUCCUUCUCAACUCCUACUCAAUACGUCCACG